rnacentral:tRNA from 1 species
GGCCAGCGUAGCUCAGUUGGUAGAGCAGCUGAUUUGUAAUCAGCCGGUCGCGGGUUCGAAUCCCUCCGCUGGCUUC